AGGUCAAUGAUAACACCUAAACUUAUCUUGAAGAGAGCUGAUGACAUAAAAAUCCUGCUCAAAACUGGAGGACACUAUGCU